AGAUAGAACUCUAACAAAUAACUUUAUACUCUCAAAGUAAGGCAUUGUGCUAAUUAUUCUCUUUCUCAACUUUCUUCCCUAUCCAACUUGCAACAAUUGGAGUGAGGGCUACUGUUGGAGGAAACCUUAUUGGAGAAGCAGCUUUAUGUGCUGCAUACGCCAAAGCAAACGUUCCGACUUUCUCUCCAGUUUCAUCAAUUGAAAUUCCUACCUUCUGCAGAAGAGCUUGAACAUCGACACCAGCACUGAUGAGUGCG
rnacentral:misc_RNA from 1 species